GUAGAUAUAGUUUAUAAAAAUACUAGACUGUGAAUCUAAAGACAGAGAAUAAUUAUCUCUUAUCUACC
rnacentral:tRNA from 1 species